GGAGUUAAUUGGGUGUCCAUUAGCAAUAAUGCAAAGCUCACUUCCCUCGUGGUUGUUUGAGCACUCUGGCCCCAUGUCACUCUGCGUAUGUCUGGAUGCGUUGAUGGCCCGUAUUGUACCACAUGCGCUUGGGAAGUGCACAGUAAAAUUCAAAGGGUAAAAGUCACUCCAAGAAGUGGGGUAAAAUUUUGUCCUAAAAACGCCCCAGUUUUUUAGGGUAACUUUCAGUAGGGAGUAAAUUUUACUCGAAGAUUAAGGAGCAAAUUUUACUCCAAAAACGAGGGUAACUGUUUUGUCCUAAAAAUUACCCCAUUUUAGAGGGUAAAAAUACGGGUAGAGUAAAAUUUGCCCACCAUGGAAUAGUGUAAUUUCUACUCCAUGCACGAAGAGAUUCUUUCACAAUUCACGCUACAAUAGCACUUUCGACCUGCAAAUUUAAGCAUAAUUCCUUGGUACGCUGCAUGGUUGCUGCACGAUUGUCUCCAACAAUUAGGAUGCCUUUCACAAUUAUAGGCUAUAUACACAAAUAUUUAAAACAUAAACAUAUAUUUUAUUAGUCACGUUUCACAAAGCAUUUGUUUCAUCUUGUUUUUAUACACAGUUACAGACAUACACAAGUUAAAAUUAUAGGCUUAAUCACGGGGAAAGCACAAUGCAUGCAUGUUUUAUAUGACACGCUGUAUAUAUAGAUAUUCUUGCUCCUGGAUUUUAAGUACUGUAUAUAUACUGCAAGGGUCUUCAAUCAUCAAUCUGGAUAGCGACCAAAAUGAGAAUGUGCAUGACCAAAGUUUGCAAUUCCAAUAUUUCUAUAAA